rnacentral:rRNA from 1 species
CGCUGGCGGCGUGCUUAACACAUGCAAGUCGAACGGGACUGAUUGAAAGCUUGCUUUGAAAAGUCUAGUGGCAAACGGGUGAGUAACGCGUAGGCGAACCUGCCUCUAAGAUGGGGACAACAGUCCGAAAGGACUGCUAAUACCGAAUGUUGUGAGUUUUCCGCAUGGAGAAUUCAUUAAAGAUGGCCUCUACUUGUAAGCUAUCACUUAGAGAUGGGCCUGCGUCUGAUUAGCUAGUUGGUGGGGUAACGGCCCACCAAGGCGACGAUCAGUAGCCGGUCUGAGAGGAUGAACGGCCACAUUGGGACUGAGACACGGCCCAGACUCCUACGGGAGGCAGCAGUGGGGAAUCUUCCGCAAUGGGCGAAAGCCUGACGGAGCAACGCCGCGUGAAGUGAAGAAGGUCUUCGGAUCGUAAAGCUCUGUCGAAGGGGACGAACGUGGGUUCUAUCAACAACGGAACCUAAUGACGGUACCUUUCAAGAAAGCCACGGCUAACUACGUGCCAGCCGCAGC